rnacentral:misc_RNA from 1 species
AAGUCGUAACAAGGUUUCCUUCACCUAUUGAAGCCUUCAGCAGCGACUGUAAAGAAAUGCGUAGUUUGCUUGCAAGCAAUGCCACUCAAAUGCUGAGACAUAUGAAUCAGCAGCCUUUUAGGCUCACAGAUCAAAUUGUGGUAACCAUUCUUAUGGGCAAGAUAUGACCGGUCUUAACUAGAGUUAGUUAAGAAUCCACGUUCCGUAGGUGAACCUGCGGAAGGAUCAUUCAUAAUAAGUGUUUUACUGCACUUUUUAAAAAUAGUACUCACCUUGUGUGCAAUGUUGUGUUUCUUUUCG